UAGGCUAUAGAUAUAACGGGCUGGACUUAUUUGAACAGCACACAGAAGGUAGUGAUCGACACAAGGAGAUUAGUACCUGGUAAUCAGACGGCAGCCGUUUAUUCAAGAAUUAUUUUUUUCCGGAUUUCGUUCUAAAGGACCAUUUGCAAUCACUACAAGCUGACUGGAGAGAGCUAUCUAUUCUUCGCUGUAACUACCGAAUUGCACCAAGGGGUGAAAUUUCCAAGAAAGUAACAUAAUGGAAACCAAGGCCGUCUUUAUGGUCGCCAUAUUAUGCUGUUGGUGUCUAGUCCGUCAGCAGGUACAUGCAUCGAGACUAGACGAUCUCCGUCAACAGUACAACCUAGACACAGAGAUUGAACGAGAAUCACAGCGGAAAAGGCGUCCGCUGAGCUCGUUAAACAGGAGACCCGAGCAACAUGAUUACCACUUUGGCGGUACUCUCUUCCGUAAAAGGAUGCUUGGAAAUCGCGAGUUGGUGAUUCAAGAUCCUGGUUACUACGCAUUCGAAGACGAGUAAAGAUCUAGACAAACUGAAGUACUUAUUUCCUACCCGACAUGCGACACUGUUCCUUGCAGCCUUGCCGCAUAGACUGACUAUAGAAUCGUGACAUUACAGCUGGCUGAAGAAUUCACUCUGAUGGUAUCAUCCAUAAUCAGAUGAAUUUCUGAAUUCACCAAAGAAUGAUAUGUGUUACGUGGACAUUAAUUCUCAAAGUGUUCCGUGUUGUUUAUUUCAUUUUUAAGAGUCGCGCUAAAAUCACUAUGCCUUAAUCCAAAAUUGCGCAAUUUUUCUCCUGGAUUUAUUUCAGUGCUGUCUCCUUGCUGUAUAUAGGCCAACUGGUUCCGACGAUACAAAACACAACGAAGACAAGCAGUGAGCUUUUUUUUUGCGAACAUAUUGAACGCAACUGCUUUAAUGAACCUUGAUAGAUGUAGGACAAAAAUUAUUGAUGGCUAUGACUGCGGCUUGUUGACACGCCAUAUCGCAGCGCACUAAGACGUAGUCGUCAUUUCGUUCUAUGAGACAUUAUUCUUAUUUAGAUAACCUAGAAUACGCCCCAAGUGCAAUGAGUUGGCCGAAAUAUUCCAUGUAGUAGCUAAGAUGCGUAGAGGUUUGGAAUGAUCUGAUGUAGAGAAAGGCUCCUUCGUAGAGUCCUGAGUACCCCUUCUUUUGGACACAAAUUAUUGACGUUAAAAGAGGCGGUUUAUUGGAGUGGGUCUCUUUGUUACUGCUCCUAAAGUAAGCAUCCUGGGUUCAAGAAACCCGACUACCUUCCUCUUGCCCUGUUUCAGUUGAAACUCGUGUUGCUUAUGAAGUUAGCCGAUUUCGUGUUUAGAAAAUGAUUUCUGCAUCCAUUCCCGGUUGAACAAGUAUUUCAUACCGUCUUUUAUUCAUUCAAUACUUUAUUGCCCAGUACUGUUCUUUUUAAGGUGACACGAAGAGAUAUGCGAGAACUGACUGGGCUUGAAGAUGAAAUAUCGCUUAGCACUAUCUGACGACAAUAUGAAAGUCAACAAACUCUGCUAAUGAAGUUAGUGAAACCCUCUCUGCAAGUGCACUGUUAAUGAUGAUUAUUAUGGAAGUACAUGGGGCGGUACUUGAGUAGAAACAAUGCCGGGCCCUCUACUUAAGAGAUUGGCGUUUGACUGAUUUAAUGAUUUCCAACAGAACAGCAAAUACUUACCCCCCCCGUGACUGCCUUUGAGCGCAGUCAGCUUUCAAGAUUAUUUCACGUUCAUUUUACUUGUCAUUAAGUCGAUGCCAAAAUAACUAUGUGAGAGCUUCACAGCUAGACACACGUCAAUAAAUGUCUCCAUUUGAUAAUGAAAUACAAAAAAGGAAUUGAAAAUGGGCAUUUUGUCUUUUUUGGCUUCAUGCAAUUAAACGUGAACAAAACGCUUGAAUUAGUCUAUAACUUUAUAAGAAUGAACAAUUCUAAAUCUGUUCAAAUGCAGAAAUGGUACAUCAAGCACAGUUAAUGGAAGAAACAUAAAAUCAACUACAAGGUAACUUCUCGAAUAGUUUACUAAAUUUCUU
rnacentral:lncRNA from 1 species